UGGUUAGCUCAGUUGGUAGAGCGCUCCACUGGAAAUGGAGUGGUCUCUGGUUCCAUACAUGCAGGACCA
rnacentral:tRNA from 1 species